rnacentral:lncRNA from 1 species
CACCAUAGAGAAAAUAGUGUUUCAGUGAAUGAAAUUGCUGAAAUGAUGGACAUCAGUAGGAGAACAGUUAUUAGGAUAUGCAAAUAUCCAGCAGAAAGAGGCACGUUGUCGCCACUUAAAUUAACAGGCAGACCCAGAGUUAUGGCGGAAGAUGACGUCCAACGUUUAGUAGAAGCCAGUCAGGCAAAUCCGUUUAAGACUGCCCCAACAUUGAAGGCGGAAUUGGAUGUGGUGUGUUCACUGACCACAGUUAAAAGGAGGUAAGCGUAACUCAUACCUCACCUAAAUUAUUUAGUGUAAACUAUACAGUUAUUGGCCAUUUGAUGAAUGAGCUGCUAAAAUAAGAAUAAAAGAAUAAAUA